rnacentral:rRNA from 1 species
GGGAGCGGNUGGACAGGNUGGUUUAAUUCGAAGCAACGCGAAGAACCUUACCAGGUCUUGACAUCCUCUGACAACUCUAGAGAUAGAGCGUUCCCCUUCGGGGGACAGAGUGACAGGUGGUGCAUGGUUGUCGUCAGCUCGUGUCGUGAGAUGUUGGGUUAAGUCCCGCAACGAGCGCAACCCUUGAUCUUAGUUGCCAGCAUUUAGUUGGGCACUCUAAGGUGACUGCCGGUGACAAACCGGAGGAAGGUGGGGAUGACGUCAAAUCAUCAUGCCCCUUAUGACCUGGGCUACACACGUGCUACAAUGGAUGGUACAAAGGGCUGCAAGACCGCGAGGUCAAGCCAAUCCCAUAAAACCAUUCUCAGUUCGGAUUGUAUGCUGCAACUCGCCUACAUGAAGCUGGAAUCGCUAGUAAUCGCGGAUCAACAUGCCGCGGUGAAUACCUUCCCGGGCCUUGUACACAUACCGCAGUAAAAAGAUUUAUUCUAUUAUAAUAG